CGUGUAGGCGGUUAGGUAGGUCCGUUGUGAAAACUCGAGGCUCAACCUCGAGACGCCGAUGGAAACCCCCUGACUAGAGUCCGGAAGAGGAGAGUGGAAUUCCUGGUGUAGCGGUGAAAUGCGCAGAUAUCAGGAAGAACACCCGUGGCUAAGGCGGCUCUCUAGUACGGUACUGACGCUGAGACGCGAAAGCGUGGGGAGCGAACA
rnacentral:rRNA from 1 species